AAACUGGCUACGAAGAGAAGAGUAUUCAGAAGAGACAUUUUACAGAGAACUCCGGUUGCUGAGAAGGAGAAAUGAUCAUUUUGAAGAAAAAAGCCUCUGAGCUUUGCAAGGAAUCUAUCGUUUAAUUACAGAUAGAAGAUGCUGCAACGGUUGCCCCCGUUAUCAGGAUAGAGUAUAACCAUUUAUGGCGUACUUGAAAAAGGUCGUUUCUAACGACAAAUUGAGGUGGUACCACGAAGUUUAACUCUCGUCCUCAAG
rnacentral:ncRNA from 1 species